UACGUAGGGGGCUAGCGUUGUCCGGAAUCAUUGGGCGUAAAGCGCGUGUAGGCGGCCCGGUAAGUCCGCUGUGAAAGUCGGGGGGCUCAACCCUCGGAUGCCGGUGGAUACUGUCGGGCUCGAGUACGGAAGAGGCGAGUGGAAUUCCUGGUGUAGCGGUGAAAAUGCGCAGAUAUCAGGAGGAACACCAAUUGCGAAGGCAGCUCGCUGGGACGUUACUGACGCUGAGACGCGAAAGCGUGGGGAGCAAACAGG
rnacentral:rRNA from 1 species